rnacentral:tRNA from 1 species
UCCCAGGUGGCUCAGAUGACAAAGAAUCUGACUGCAAUGCAGGUGACCCAGGUUCGAUCCCUGGGUUGGGAA